rnacentral:lncRNA from 1 species
AAAAUAACUUUUCAUUCUGCUGUACAAUAUAUGCAUAUCUUGUGUAUUUCAGAUUUUUAAACUUUAUUAACAUACAUUUUUAACCUUUAUAAGUUCAGCUAAAACUGGAGUAUUUUUAAUGGUCAUCUUUCAGGUUCAGAUAAAAGUUGUAGCUGAAGGAAAAGUAUUGCUUUUAAUUUGUGGUAUAUAGAAUUCUAUUUUGCUGCUGGCUAUGCUGGCACGUCCCUAUAAUCCUAAGGGCUUGGAAGGCUGAGGCAGGAGGAUCUCUUCAAAGCCAGCCUGAGUAAAGCAAUGUACUAAGCCACUCAGUGAGACCCUGUCUCUAAAUAAAAUACAAAAUAGGGUUGGAGAUGUGGCUCAGUGGUUGAGUGCCCCUGAGUUCAGUUCCUGGUACCAUAAAAAGAAUUCUAUUUUGUUGUCCUUUUAGGGGAGGAAUUGAUGAAAGUAAUAAAUUUUUAGGUGGCAUUUUUUCCUUAUGUUUUUGCUAUUUCUCUUUUGAGGGCUAUGAAUAUGAGAAGAGGCAAUAAUAUCCUGACUUGAAAAAGCUUAGAACCCAUUGUUUCCAGAAGGGUUCAAUUGUACAAGACUGGAAUCUUGAGUGAUCCAGGAUCCUAGAGCAAUCAGUAUGGUGGUAAAAACAUUGAACCAUUUCAAAAAUUUUUCAGAAAUUUAGCUUCUAUUGUUAUUUUCAUUUAAAGCUAAGAAGAUUGAUGGUUAUCUUAUAUUAAUUGCACAUUUAUAAUAUAAAAGAAAGUUAUAAUCUUUCAAAAAUAUAUGGAACAACCGACGUAUUGGACAGUGCAGAUGCAGAAUAUUUCCAUCACUGUUGAAAGUGUCAUAUUUUACUCUUGUACAAAACUGCUUUAGUUGCUUUCUGUAUCUCUCUGGAGAUGAACCUAAAAGAGAUAAAUAUGUAUGUUUUCAGGAAAUGUGCAAGAUUGCUCAUUUAAUGUUUGACUCUUAUUUCUUUCAGAUGCGUAGAAAAAAUAACAACUGAUAAAGGUAAGACUUGGUCAUUUUUACCUCUCUUGUAUAUGUAUGAAUGACACUGUGUUAUAAUCUGGUAGAAAGUAGAAUAAGCUCCAGCCUAGUUCAAAAAAAUUCCCAUAUAAAAGGAACUUUUGUUCAGUAAAACAUUAGUGAAGUUGAUAGAGCCUAUUUAGAUGUCAUCAAUCAGAUUUAGAUAGUAAAAUAUCUUCACAGUUUUUAGAAACUCAACAAUGAGAACCAUAAUUAUUAUUAUUAUUAUUAUUAUUAUUUUAGUUGUAGGUGCACAGAAUGCCUUUAUUUGUUUAGUUUUUUAUGCAGUGCUAAGGAUAGAACCCAGUGCCUCACACAUGCUAGGCAAGCGCUCUGCCACUGAGCUACAGCUCCAGCCCAGGAACCAUAAUUUAAUGACAGUUUAUUAUAAUUUUUAAAGCUAUUUAGCCUUUUUUAAAUGAAGUAAUGAAGAAAGAAGUAAUACAUAGUAUAUAGAAUAAAGUGUAGGCAGUGUUUAUACUGGUAGAGACUAAAAUUUUGAUUGCAGUUUGAAGAAUACAGAAAGAAAAUGUUCUAAGAUUUCAGCCUGGUGAAUAAUUAAAUGAAGUUAUUAGGUCAUUUCUAUGUAAUGUUUUAGCCAAUUAAAUGUUUAUUGAAUCUAGUUUUCUGUUUGUCUGAUUUAUGAAGGAAAGCUGAUGUUCACUUUUUUCUUUCUAAAAUACUUUUAUUUAAGAGAUUUUAUUCUGGCUUUGUAGAUUGAAUUAUUAUAAUUACUGCCACUUGAUUGAGCCAGUAGCCAAUUGAUUACAUUUUUCUUUUCUAGGUAUUGGUUGUGUUGUUUAAUGUUAAGCUCAAAUAUGUGGGAUCCUCCUUAAAACUGGAACAGUAUACUCAAGUAUUUCAAUUAUUGUAUAUGCUUUUGACUCAGUACUAACAGCCAGUUUCCAAUACCUGGAGUCUACUUAAUAGUUGAGAGUUGACCAGUGAUUUUAUUUUUGUUUUUCUAUGUGAUAUUGGGGAUUAAACCCAGAGAUACUUUUACACUGAGCUACACACCCAGCACAUUUUAUUUUUUAUUUUGAGACAGUCUUGCUAAGUUGCUAAGGCUGAUUUCAAAUUUGGGAUACUCCUGGUAGAAAGUAGAAUAAUCUCCUGAGUACCUGGGAUUAUAGGUAUGUGUCAUGAUACCUAGCUACCAGUUACUUUUUUAAGGUCCACUUACAGCCUGCUUAUUUAUUUAUUUAUUUCCAUACAUAUGUGUGUGUGUGUUCAGGCAAGAAAUAUUACAUACUAGGCAAAGUUUUGUGUAGAAAGCUUUGCAUGAUUAUUUUGUCUGCUGAGUUAAAUGAAAACAGUAGUUAUAUCUGCCUAGAACGGAAGGUCUUAUGUUCAGAGACAUUUUAUAGAUUUUUAUGAUGUAAAAAAAUAUAUAUAUAUGAGGAGACAGACCAUAAUCAAGUACCAGAGCAGUUCUUAUUUAAAAAAAACAACCUGCCUUCAUCAGAGCUAUAGUUACUUUAUGUGUCUAAAGAAAUUACUUUGGGUUGACUUGAGAACAAUUUAUAUAGACAUUUUGAACCCCUUUUUGGGGGUAAAUGAUCUUUGUGUAGAUAAUAUUAAACCAGAAGUUGGCAUGCUAUUUAGUUUUGCAGCUAUGGAAAGAUUAAAACUUUAUUCUUAGUAAUUCAGUCUCAAAAUCUCAUCUCACUUUAAUCCACUAGUUAAAUGAUCUGAGCCUGUGUACUCUCAAACUCCCAUCUCCAUGUCUUCAUUAGUUCACAUGUUAAGAGUAGCUGCUCAACCCUAAGACCCGUAUCUAACAUUACAGGAGAGAUUAGUGAAAAAGUCAGGAAGAUUCUAGUACUCACUUUUUCCUGUACCAUUUGAUAUUUACAGUUCACCUCAGCUCUUUCUUCUAUGUCAAAAAGUUACCUGUAGACCCUGGCAGAGUCUUCAUAUUCGGUCUGCUGAAUUUUUAUUCAUUUGUAUUUCAAAGAAACUUUUUGAAAACGUUUUGUUAUUUUUUAGAAGUUAUGACUCUCUUUUAUUAAUAUUAUGAUAUUUUUAUGAUUGUUUUUACUCAUUUGCUCCAAACAACCAGAAAGUUAUGCUUUCCUUGAAUUGAAAAGAAGAACCUUUGACGUGUUUCAACAAGUAAACAGUAUUGUACAAAGAAAGCAGCUUUCCAUGAUUUUUAAGUUGCAAAGUGCUACAUUCAUUUUUCAAACUGAAGAAAUAAUAAAGAAGCAUUAUCAUGAAUUUCUGUUCCUACUACAUUUAUUUAACCUCGAUAGGUGUAUGUAAAACAAAUAGAAAGGUAUUUUGCUAAAUAAUGGUUGUUAAAUUUAUUCAGAAAGUGUAAGUGAAAUUAAAUCAAAGCAACCAAUACUGUACUCACAGUAAUAAAGUAAAAGGGUGGCUUAUCUAAAUGUUUAUCUAAACUUAUUGGCACCCCUGCUUUACUCAUAAUUUUAAUUUCUUUUUAAAAACUAUACAUAAAACCUAAUUUUUUCUCCUGUCUUUUGGGUUCUUAGUGAAUAAUAGUUAAAAUUGCUUAAGAUCCAACAUAAAAAUUGGGCAGCGUGAUGCUUUAAUGUUUACUAAUGGAUGUUUUAGGUGUUUCCUGGAAUAAUUGUCAAUACUACAGAGUUAAGUAAAUAUGGGCAGUGUUUUGCGUUAUUAAUGUUAGAUAGAAUAUACUGUAGGUUUUCUUAGGAAUUUUUUUCUUUUUUAGUACUAUGCAGUAUAAAUACCAAAAUGUACAGCAAUUACCUAAUUUAUUUUACUAUGAAACCCUCUCUAAAGAAUAUCUAAUAAAAUCAGUUUAUGGAAGACAUUUUGGGAUAGUUGUUGCUUGAAAAUUUUACUGUAUUACACUUUGAGACUCACCUUUUAUUCAGAAUAGUUCUAUUUUCAGUUACUCUUGUUACAGAGAGGUGACCUUUGACAAAGAUUAGUCAUUAGAUGAAUUCAGAACAUCUGGAAAGUAGAUUAUUUAGGACAGUUUAACUCUUAACUCUUUGUGGCACCUAGUUUAUUAUACUCAGCAAAUAUGUGUAAUUAUUACCAAAAUAUUAGCUUGUUUUUCUUUUUAUUCCCUCUGCCUUAUAUCAUAUCCUCAGAUAUUUGUUUUAGAUUAAUUUAGUCUAAUUUAUAGAUUAUGAUCUCUCCAAUCCCUGCCCCUAUGACCACCGCCACCCUUCCUCCUCCUGGGGUUUGAACCAUGGGGCUCUUUACCACUGAGCUACAUCCUCAUCCCUUUUCAUUUUUUAUUUCGAUCAGUCUCCCUAAGUUGCCAAAGCCAGCUUUGAACUUGGAUCCUCCCACCUUAGCCUCCCAAAUAGCUAGGAUCAUAGAGAUUCACCAGCAUGCCUGGCUACUUGAUUUUUAAAAAAAA